CUCACCUGGUCAGAUACCUUCCAGCUCAAACCCUCCGUCGCCCACGUCACAGAGAAGAAAUAAGCAGAGUAGAAACAAAGAACUGGACCGAGCCUGAGAGAGAACCAGGAUAAAUAUCGGAGUCACCUCAGAGGUGGAGGAGCUGCAGGUCUGUCAGGACUUUUCUGCUGGACAGUGAGCAGCAGCUCCUCAGUCAGAACCACUGGGUCUGUAACCGGGCCUCAGGAGCUGCUCUUCUUCCACAUGGACGUGGAGUCGGCCUGUGUAUUUGUAAAGUUCUUCCUUGGUGAUGUAAAAGGUGUUAAAGUGAGUCCAGGUGUGUCAGCUGGCGUCGGGAGAUCACAUGAUCACUGCAGUUUCAGAAGUCCUGCGUAUCUGUUCCGUCCAGCUUCGGACUGCUGGAGCCGGAUGGGACAGAUACACAGCGGACCGGACCGGACCGGACCUGCUGGAGGUUAACACUGAGACUACAGUGAAUUGUAAUGCAGCGAACACGGAUCUGGUGAAGUGCAGAGAGCAUCAGGAGUUCAUUCCAACAUUGUUCACUGAAAGUG